AUGCUUUCAGUUUUCAAGAAAGAAGACACCAUUGUUGCCAAAGAUUUUGGUAAUUUGAGAGAUAGAAUUACAGAACCUGCUAAGGCCAUCGAACCUAUUGGUCGGAAGUCAGUCCAUGAGAUUUGCUCUGGGCCGGUGGUACUGAGUCUAAGCACUGCGGUGAAAGAGUUAGUAGAAAACAGUCUGGAUGCUGGUGCCACUAAUAUUGAUCUAAAGCUUAAGGAUUAUGGAGUGGAUCUCACUGAAGUUUCAGACAAUGGAUGUGGGGUAGAAGAAGAAACUUCCAAGGCUUAAGUAACUCUGAAACAUCACACAACUAAGAUUCAAGAGUUUGCCGACCUAACUCAGGUUGAAACUUUCGGUUUUCAGGGGGAAGCUCUGAGCUCACUUUGUGCUCUGAGCAAUGUCACCAUUUCUACCUGCCAUGCAUCGACAAAGGUUGGGACUCAACUGGUGUUUGAUCACAAUGGGAAAAUCAUCCAGAAAACCCCCUACCCCUGCCCCAGAGGGACCACAGUCAGCGUGAAGCAGUUAUUUUCUACGGUACCUGUGCGCCAUAAGGAAUAUCAAAGGAAUGUUAAGAAGGUACAACGUGCCUGCUUCCCCUUCACCUUCUGCCAUAAUUGUCAGUUUCCUGAGGACUCCCCAGCCACGCUUCCUGUACAGCCUGCAGAACUGACUCCUAGAAGUACCCCAACCCCCACCCCCACCCCUACCCCUGCUCCCAGGAGGACAAUGUGAUCACUGUAUUCAGCUCCAUCAAGAACGGUCCAGGUUCUUCUAGAUGAUCUGCACACAUGGCUCCUCUCCUCCUUCCUGGUGUCUGCCUUUAGCAUUGGAAUAAAGUUCCUGCUGAAAAUCCACAUCUCCCCUGGGCCCAGUGUUCUGGAAGUGAGAGAGACGAUGUGACACUUCAAGGAGGCAGCUCUCUAGACAGGAAGGUUAUUCACGUCCCAUGUCAAGUCUAACUAGAGUUCAGAGCAAUUGAGAAAUGCAAUUUUAUCUCCUGCCUUUCAUUCUAUACCCUGCUUCUGAACCAUCGUGUUCAACUGUGAUACUCACACUUUGGUGACCAUGACUCCAAAACUCACUUAAUACACCCAAGGUCAGCCCCA